rnacentral:lncRNA from 10 species
AAGGCUUCUAAGUGCCUCCUCUGAACUCAGCUCCAUGCUGCUAGCUGAGGAUGUGCGGAUGAAUGAGUCUUGCUUCCUGCCCCUCAGGGCCUCACAAUCGAAAGAAAGGCCAGGGCACCUCCCAGCUAACCUGGUGAGUGUUGAGACCAGCAAGCGGAGCAGGCCAUGCAGACCUGGCUGUGUGUGCAGAGUUGGGACAGCUGGCAGAACUCUCAUUGGAACUGAAACAAAGGACAAGUCUCCCAAUAGGACUGAAAAGAGAUUGGGGAUGAGGAUCACAGCUGGAAAGGCCAGAAGACUCACCAGCAACAACCAAAAAUGCUAGAAAAGAGGAAAAGCAGCCAGAAAGGGAAAAAAUCCUAUUUCUCCCUUCCUUCUACACUUGUCUACUCCUAGUCGAUAAUUAUUCCUUACGUUGGUAUGGGCAUUUACUAUUCUCAGAAGCUUUCACAUAUAUGGAACUCUUGAAUACAAAUGCCACAAAGAACCACGGGACUCUCCUGCACACAGAGCUAGUUAGAAGUGGAGCUACAAGAAGAACCCAGGACUCCUCGAUCUCAAACAAGAGCUAGCUCCUCUACACAGGACCUCACUUAACCCUCCUGCGACACUGGGAGGAGGCAAGCAUUGUUCCCAUUUUCCAGGUGAGAGGACUGGGGCUCAGAGGGUAAGUGACCAGUCACACCUGAGCCCACUCAGAAAAGAAGUAGCCGAGAUAGGAUUUGGGGUUAAGUGUAUGCAAUCCCAGGGGAAUGCUUUUUCUACUUCUCCCUUGCUGGGCUACUGUUCAUUGGCAAGAAGUAUUAAGAGAGGCUGAAGAAAGAAGGGCUGGCAUAUAACUGGAACAUAACUGCACUGCUGUUCCUUAACUGCCAGAUGGCAUG